AUGUUUGAUGUUCUAACGUGGACCCGUAAUCCGGGUUGCGGACAGUGUCUGGUGGGUAGUUUGACUGGGGCGGUCUCCUCCCAAAGAGUAACGGAGGAGCACGAAGGUUGGCUAAUCCUGGUCGGACAUCAGGAGGUUAGUGCAAUGGCAUAAGCCAGCUUGACUGCGAGCGUGACGGCGCGAGCAGGUGCGAAAGCAGGUCAUAGUGAUCCGGUGGUUCUGAAUGGAAGGGCCAUCGCUCAACGGAUAAAAGGUACUCCGGGGAUAACAGGCUGAUACCGCCCAAGAGUUCAUAUCGACGGCGGUGUUUGGCACCUCGAUGUCGGCUCAUCACAUCCUGGGGCUGAAGUAGGUCCCAAGGGUAUGGCUGUUCGCCAUUUAAAGUGGUACGCGAGCUGGGUUUAGAACGUCGUGAGACAGUUCGGUCCCUAUCUGCCGUGGGCGCUGGAGAACUGAGGGGGGCUGCUCCUAGUACGAGAGGACCGGAGUGGACGCAUCACUGGUGUUCGGGUUGUCAUGCCAAUGGCACUGCCCGGUAGCUAAAUGCGGAAGAGAUAAGUGCUGAAAGCAUCUAAGCACGAAACUUGCCCCGAGAUGAGUUCUCCCUG
rnacentral:rRNA from 3 species